UACGAAGGGGGCUAGCGUUGCUCGGAUUGACUGGGCGUAAAGGGCGCGUAGGCGGUUUGCAUAGUCAGACGUGAAAUUCCUGGGCUUAACCUGGGGGGCUGCGUUUGAUACAUGCAGGCUUGAGUUCGGAAGAGGGUCGUGGAAUUCCCAGUGUAGAGGUGAAAUUCGUAGAUAUUGGGAAGAACACCGGUGGCGAAGGCGGCGACCUGGUCCGAUACUGACGCUGAGGCGCGAAAGCGUGGGGAGCAAACAGG
rnacentral:rRNA from 1 species